UACGUAGGGUGCAAGCGUUAAUCGGAAUUACUAAGCGUAAAGCGUGCGCAGGCGGCGCGUUAAGACAGGUGUGAAAGCCCCGAGCUUAACUUGGGAAUUGCGCUUGUGACUGGCGUGCUGGAGUGUGGCAGAGGGAGGUGGAAUUCCACGUGUAGCAGUGAAAUGCGUAGAGAUGUGGAGGAACACCGAUAGCGAAGGCAGCCUCCUGGGCCAGCACUGACGCUCAUGCACGAAAGCGUAGGGAGCAAACAGG
rnacentral:rRNA from 1 species